rnacentral:rRNA from 1 species
GACGAACGCUGGCGGCGUGCUUAACACAUGCAAGUCGAACGGUGAACCUCUUCGGAGGGGAUCAGUGGCGAACGGGUGAGUAACACGUGGGCAACCUGCCCCCGGCUCUGGGAUAACUCCAAGAAAUUGGGGCUAAUACCGGAUGUUCACCGCUUCCCGCAUGGGUGGUGGUGGAAAGGGUUUCCGGCUGGGGAUGGGCCCGCGGCCUAUCAGCUUGUUGGUGGAGUAGUGGCCGACCAAGGCGACGACGGGUAGCCGGCCUGAGAGGGUGACCGGCCACACUGGGACUGAGACACGGACCAGACUCCUACGGGAGGCAGCAGUGGGGAAUAUUGCGCAAUGGGCGGAAGCCUGACGCAGCGACGCCGCGUGGGGGAUGACGGCCUUCGGGUUGUAAACAUCUUUCAGCAGGGACGAAGCGCAAGUGACGGUACCUGCAGAAGAAGCACCGGCUAACUACGUG